rnacentral:tRNA from 1 species
GUCGUGGUAGCUCAGUCGGGUGAGCGCCCGUUACUCACGCCAGAGAUGCGGGUUCAAAUCCCGGCGCUGACA